AUUGAACGCUGGCGGCAGGCCUAACACAUGCAAGUCGAACGGUAACAGGAAGAAGCUUGCUUCUUUGCUGACGAGUGGCGGACGGGUGAGUCAUGUCUGGGAAACUGCCUGAUGGAGGGGGAUAACUACUGGAAACGGUCGCUAAUACCGCAUAACGUCGCAAGACCAAAGAGGCGGACCUUCGGGCCUCUUGCCAUCGGCUGUGCCCAGAUGGGAUUAGCUAGUAGGUGGGGUAACGGCUCACCUAGGCGACGAUCCCUAGCUGGUCUGAGAGGAUGACCAGCCACACGGGAAGUGAGACACAGUACAGACACCUACGGGAGGACGCAGUGGGGAAUAUUGCACAAUGGACGCAAGCCUGAUGCAGCAAUGCCGCGUGUAUGAAGAAGGACCAAGGCUGGUAGAGUACUUACAGCGGGGAGGAAGGGAGUAGAGUUAAUACGUUGGCUCAUUGACGUUACCCGCAGAAGAAGCACCGGCUAACUCCGUG
rnacentral:rRNA from 1 species